rnacentral:rRNA from 1 species
GACGAACGCUGGCGGCGUGCCUAAUACAUGCAAGUCGAGCGGAGAACGAGGGAGCUUGCUCCCCCGGGAUCAGUGGCGAACGGGUGAGUAACACGUGAGCAAUCUGCCCCGAACACUGGGAUAAGCGUUGGAAACGGCGUCUAAUACCGGAUACGACGCGGGAGGGCAUCCUCUACGAGUGAAAAGAGAUUCGGCUGGGGAUGAGAUAUCGGCCUACCGGCUUGUUGGUGAAGGAUAGGCUAACGAAGGCGACGACCGGUAGCCGGCAUGGGAGGUUGACCGGCCACACUGGGACUGAGACACGGACCAGACGCCUACGGUAGGCAGCAGUGGGGAAUAUGGCGCAAUGGGCGCAAGCCAGAUGCAGCAACCCCGCGUGAGUGACAACGGCCUUCGAGUGGAAAACCUCUUUGUGCAUGGAAGAACCGAAAUUGACGGUACCUGCAGAGAAAGCACCGGCUAACUACGUG